rnacentral:rRNA from 1 species
GAUACGCUGGCGGCGUGCUUACACCUGCAGUCGAACGAACUUCGGGUUAGUGGCGGACGGGUGAGUAACGCGUGAGAAUCUGCCCUCAGGAGGGGGACAACAGUUAGGAAACGACUGCAUCAUACCCCAUAUGCCGCGCAGGUGAAAUGAAUUUCGCCUGAGCGAUGAGCUCGCGUCUGAUUAGCAUAGUUGGUGUAGGUAAUGGCUCACCAAAGGCAUCGAUCAGUAGCUGGUCUGAGAGGAUGAUCAGACCACACUGGGACUGAAAACACGGCCCAGACUCCUACGGGAGGCAGCAGUGGGGAAUUUUCCGCAAUGGGCGAAAGCCUGACGGAGCAACGCCGCGUGAGGGAUGAAGGCCUCUGGGCUGUACAACCUCUUUUAUCAACGGAAGAAGAUCUGACAGGUACUUGAUGAAUAAGCCACAGGCUAAUUCCGUGCCAGCAGCCGCGGUAAUACGGGAGUGGCAAGACAGUUAUCCGGAAUUAUUGGGCGUAAAGC